AGUGAACGCUGGCGGCGUGCCUAAUACAUGCAAGUCGAACGAUGAAGUCCUAGCUUGCUAGGAUGGAUUAGUGGCGCACGGGUGAGUAAUAUAUAGUUAAUCUGCCCUACACAGAGGAACAACAGUUGGAAACGACUGCUAAUACCUCAUACUCCUAUUUGACAUAAGUUAAAUAGGGAAAGUCUUUUCGGUGUAGGAUGAGACUAUAUCGUAUCAGCUAGUUGGUAAGGUAAUGGCUUACCAAGGCUAUGACGCGUAACUGGUCUGAGAGGAUGAUCAGUCACAUUGGAACUGAGACACGGUCCAAACUCCUACGGGAGGCAGCAGUAAGGAAUAUUGCGCAAUGGGGGAAACCCUGACGCAGCAACGCCGCGUGGAGGAUGACACUUUUCGGAGCUUAAACUCCUUUUAUCAGGAAAGAAUAAUGACGGUACCUGAUGAAUAAGCACCGGCUAACUCCGUG
rnacentral:rRNA from 1 species